AAUAAAGAUCUUCGGGAACUUUUUCCCGAAUAUUUUAAUUAUUUUAUUAUUUGAUAUCAUCAAAAAACCAAACAGCGGUCUUUAAAUAUUCAUGUUUUGACCAGGUUGAAUUAAAAAUAUAAAAAGGAACAAAAACUUUUGCAUAUUAUUUUACUCGAAGAUUGGCUGGAUUUAUUUGAGCGUGUAAGUUUUGUUUAUGAUUAGUGGAAUGAAAAAAUGAAACUGAUGUUGUGGUGCAGGAAGCGUCCCUUCAUAACGGAUUCUAGAAGUGGGCAAGCGGCGGAUCAUAGGCUGCUGUAUCGUGGAGGAAGUUUAUGGUAAGACCACGUAAGACAGAAUAUCGUUCGGCAGCUAUUAUUGGCCUAUCUUACCAAUUAGAUACAAUAAUAGCUGAUACAGUUUCACACAUAACCUGAUGUGUUAGAGACAACGACUAACUUCGAUUCACCACUCAAGAAAAAACCAAGGGGCACGACACAAGACAAUUCUCAAAAAAAUUCCCAUACUUUUCAUCGGAUUUUUUGAAAUAUUUUUUCCGAACGUUACUUUCAGUGUCUUAGAUGAAAAUAGCUUAAAUUAACUCAAAUUGGGCUAUCUUUCCUGCGAUUAGAAAUGCUUAGAAACGGAUAUUUUAGGAUAUUUCCGCGUGUAGCACUGUCAAGAUGCUGUCAAAAUGACAAACAAAGAGGAAAUAAUAUCGUUGGUUUUCUUUUGAUACUGUUCUAUACAAUAACCUCUUUAACAUUUUUUUGCCAAACUUAAAAUACAUAAUACAUUGGUACCGAUGUGCCCAAGGAUGUCUUUUAUUCGCAUAGCUGUGCAAAACAAAUUAAAUGCAUCAUCCGUACCGAUGUUUUCACAUCUGCGGCAUUUGAAGAAAUUCAUCAUGAUGAACUUGGCCAACGGUACAGAAACUGGAACAAGAACGGAAGAGU